rnacentral:rRNA from 1 species
UACGUAGGGGUCGAGCGUUGUCCGGAGUUACUGGGCGUAAAGCGUGCGCAGGCGGUUUCUUAAGUCAGAUGUGAAAGCCCCGGGCUUAACCUGGGAACUGCGUUUGAAACUGGGAGACUUGAGUGUGGCAGAGGGGGGUGGAAUUCCACGUGUAGCAGUGAAAUGCGUAGAUAUGUGGAGGAACACCGAUGGCGAAGGCAGCCCCCUGGGUUAACACUGACGCUCAUGCACGAAAGCGUGGGGAGCAAACAGG